rnacentral:rRNA from 1 species
CGCUGGCGGCAGGCCUAACACAUGCAAGUCGAGCGGUAGCACAGAGAGCUUGCUCUCGGGUGACGAGCGGCGGACGGGUGAGUAAUGUCUGGGAAACUGCCUGAUGGAGGGGGAUAACUACUGGAAACGGUAGCUAAUACCGCAUAACGUCGCAAGACCAAAGUGGGGGACCUUCGGGCCUCAUGCCAUCAGAUGUGCCCAGAUGGGAUUAGCUAGUAGGUGGGGUAAUGGCUCACCUAGGCGACGAUCCCUAGCUGGUCUGAGAGGAUGACCAGCCACACUGGAACUGAGACACGGUCCAGACUCCUACGGGAGGCAGCAGUGGGGAAUAUUGCACAAUGGGCGCAAGCCUGAUGCAGCCAUGCCGCGUGUAUGAAGAAGGCCUUCGGGUUGUAAAGUACUUUCAGCGAGGAGGAAGGCGUUAAGGUUAAUAACCUUAGCGAUUGACGUUACUCGCAGAAGAAGCACCGGCUAACUCCGUGCCAGCAGCCGCGGUAAUACGGAGGGUGCAAGCGUUAAUCGGAAUUACUGGGCGUAAAGCGCACGCAGGCGGUCUGUCAAGUCGGAUGUGAAAUCCCCGGGCUCAACCUGGGAACUGCAUUCGAAACUGGCAGGCUAGAGUCUUGUAGAGGGGGGUAGAAUUCCAGGUGUAGCGGUGAAAUGCGUAGAGAUCUGGAGGAAUACCGGUGGCGAAGGCGGCCCCCUGGACAAAGACUGACGCUCAGGUGCGAAAGCGUGGGGAGCAAACAGGAUUAGAUACCCUGGUAGUCCACGCCGUAAACGAUGUCGACUUGGAGGUUGUGCCCUUGAGGCGUGGCUUCCGGAGCUAACGCGUUAAGUCGACCGCCUGGGGAGUACGGCCGCAAGGUUAAAACUCAAAUGAAUUGACGGGGGCCCGCACAAGCGGUGGAGCAUGUGGUUUAAUUCGAUGCAACGCGAAGAACCUUACCUACUCUUGACAUCCAGAGAACUUAGCAGAGAUGCUUUGGUGCCUUCGGGAACUCUGAGACAGGUGCUGCAUGGCUGUCGUCAGCUCGUGUUGUGAAAUGUUGGGUUAAGUCCCGCAACGAGCGCAACCCUUAUCCUUUGUUGCCAGCGGUCCGGCCGGGAACUCAAAGGAGACUGCCAGUGAUAAACUGGAGGAAGGUGGGGAUGACGUCAAGUCAUCAUGGCCCUUACGAGUAGGGCUACACACGUGCUACAAUGGCAUAUACAAAGAGAAGCGACCUCGCGAGAGCAAGCGGACCUCAUAAAGUAUGUCGUAGUCCGGAUUGGAGUCUGCAACUCGACUCCAUGAAGUCGGAAUCGCUAGUAAUCGUAGAUCAGAAUGCUACGGUGAAUACGUUCCCGGGCCUUGUACACACCGCCCGUCACACCAUGGGAGUGGGUUGCAAAAGAAGUAGG